AAGGGGUGUUUGGUGUGGAAGCAUGUUAGUAGCGUGUUCUCUGCGUGAUAGGGAGUGGAAGGAAAAGACUUUAAGGAGUAGCUGCACUGCUGAGGACAAGUUUGGGGCUCUGUUUGCUGAAGGUGUUGAAUAAAUCACUAUGAUCUCCAGUCCCAUGGGAGACCACAAUGGAGAAGACAGCCAUGGAAACUUAGACCUGAAUUUAACUCUGGCGACCAGAGCUUUGAGAAUGUGGGCUAUGUAUUACCAAAUCUUUAUCAUUUUGAGAUCUGAGAGUCAGAAGAUACCAGGCACCUUUGAAUAGACAGAGUAGAUGUGUUGUGCCAAAGCUGAGAAGACCUUUCCAGAUCGAUAUCUCCUUGCACCUACAUCUUACAGAACGUGGAUUUCAGAACAUGGUGUCGGGACAUCCCAGGUCUGUGAGGAGAGGGCAGUGGCUGGCAAGGCUGCCCCAUGUUACA